GGCUGGCAGAGAAAGACUAGCUCAGUCGGUAGAGCAUGAGACUCUGAACCUCGGGGCUGUGGGUUCGAGUCCCACGUUGGGCA